rnacentral:rRNA from 1 species
GACGGACGCUGGCGGCGUGCUUAACACAUGCAAGUCGAACGAUGAAGCCGGAGCUUGCUCCGGUGGAUUAGUGGCGAACGGGUGAGUAACACGUGAGCAAUCUGCCCUUGACUCUGGGAUAACUGCGGGAAACUGUAGCUAAUACCGGAUACGACACCUCGGGGCAUCCCAGGGUGUGGAAAGAAUUUCGGUCAAGGAUGAGCUCGCGGCCUAUCAGCUAGUUGGUGAGGUAAUGGCUCACCAAGGCGACGACGGGUAGCCGGCCUGAGAGGGUGACCGGCCAAGCUGGAACUGAGACACGGGCCAGACUCCUACGGGAGGCAGCAGUGGGGAAUAUUGCACAAUGGGCGAAAGCCUGAUGCAGCAACGCCGCGUGAGGGAUGAAGGCCUUCGGGUUGUAAACCUCUUUUAGCAGGGAAGAAGCGAAAGUGACGGUACCUGCAGAAAAAGCACCGGCUAACUACGUGCCAGCAGCCGCCGUAA